rnacentral:rRNA from 1 species
AUUGAACGCUGGCGGCAGGCCUAACACAUGCAAGUCGAGCGGAUGAAGAGAGCUUGCUCUCUGAUUCAGCGGCGGACGGGUGAGUAAUGCCUAGGAAUCUGCCUAGUAGUGGGGGACAACGUUUCGAAAGGAACGCUAAUACCGCAUACGUCCUACGGGAGAAAGCAGGGGACCUUCGGGCCUUGCGCUAUCAGAUGAGCCUAGGUCGGAUUAGCUAGUAGGUGGGGUAAAGGCUCACCUAGGCGACGAUCCGUAACUGGUCUGAGAGGAUGAUCAGUCACACUGGAACUGAGACACGGUCCAGACUCCUACGGGAGGCAGCAGUGGGGAAUAUUGGACAAUGGGCGAAAGCCUGAUCCAGCCAUGCCGCGUGUGUGAAGAAGGUCUUCGGAUUGUAAAGCACUUUAAGUUGGGAGGAAGGGCAGUAAGCUAAUACCUUGCUGUUUUGACGUUACCAACAGAAUAAGCACCGGCUAACUUCGUGCCAGCCGCCGCGGUAAUAC